rnacentral:rRNA from 1 species
AUUGAACGCUGGCGGCAGGCCUAACACAUGCAAGUCGAGCGGAUGAAGGGAGCUUGCUCCUGGAUUCAGCGGCGGACGGGUGAGUAAUGCCUAGGAAUCUGCCUGGCAGUGGGGGAUAACGUCCGGAAACGGGCGCUAAUACCGCAUACGUCCUGAGGGAGAAAGUGGGGGAUCUUCGGACCUCACGCUAUCAGAUGAGCCUAGGUCGGAUUAGCUAGUUGGUGGGGUAAAGGCCUACCAAGGCGACGAUCCGUAACUGGUCUGAGAGGAUGAUCAGCCACACUGGAACUGAGACACGGUCCAGACUCCUACGGGAGGCAGCAGUGGGGAAUAUUGGACAAUGGGCGAAAGCCUGAUCCAGCCAUGCCGCGUGUGUGAAGAAGGUCUUCGGAUUGUAAAGCACUUUAAGUUGGGAGGAAGGGCAGUAAGUUAAUACCUUGCUGUUUUGACGUUACCAACAGAAUAAGCACCGGCUAACUUCGUG